CUUGGUCAUUUAGAGGAAGUAAAAGUCGUAACAAGGUCCCCGUAGGUGAACCUGCGGAGGGAUCAUUACCGAGUUCAUGCCCACACGGGUAGAUCUCCCACCCUAUGUUAUCAUUACCUUUGUUGCUUUGGCGGGCCGCCAGGCUUCGGUCAGGCUACCGGCUCCGGCUGGUACGCGCCCGCCAGAGGACCCCAAACUCUGAAUGUUAGUGUCGUCUGAGUACUAUCUAAUAGUUAAAACUUUCAACAACGGAUCUCUUGGUUCUGGCAUCGAUGAAGAACGCAGCGAAAUGCGAUAAGUAAUGUGAAUUGCAGAAUUCAGUGAAUCAUCGAAUCUUUGAACGCACAUUGCGCCCCUUGGCAUUCCGAGGGGCAUGCCUGUUCGAGCGUCAUUACAACCCUCAAGCACUGCUUGGCAUUGGGCUCCGCUGCUAACCCAGCGGGCCUUAAAAUCAGUGGCGGCGCCCUCAGGCUCUGAGCGUAGUAAAUCUCCUCGCUAUAGAGUCCUGGUGGUGGUAGUCAUCAACCCCCAACUUUUCUAAGUUUGACCUCGGAUCAGGUAGGGAUACCCGCUGAACUUAAGCAUAUCAAUAAGCGGAGGA
rnacentral:rRNA from 1 species